rnacentral:rRNA from 1 species
GCGGCGGACGGGUGAGUAACGCGUGAGCAACCUGCCUUAUACAGGGGGAUAACACAUCGAAAGAUGUGCUAAUACCGCAUAAUAUACCUUUGCCGCAUGGUGGAGGUAUCAAAGGAGUGAUCCGGUAUAAGAUGGGCUCGCGUCUGAUUAGCUAGUUGGUAGGGUAACGGCCUACCAAGGCGACGAUCAGUAGCCGACCUGAGAGGGUGACCGGCCACAUUGGGACUGAGACACGGCCCAGACUCCUACGGGAGGCAGCAGUGGGGGAUAUUGCGCAAUGGGGGAAACCCUGACGCAGCGACGCCGCGUGAAGGAAGAAGGCCUUCGGGUCGUAAACUUUUGUCUUCUGGGACGAAAUAUGACGGUACCAGAGGAGGAAGCCACGGCUAACUACGUGCCAGCAGCCCCGGUAAUACGUAGGUGGCGAGCGUUGUCCGGAAUUACUGGGUGUAAAGGGCGCGUAGGCGGGGCUGCAAGUCAGAUGUGAAAUACCGGG